AAGUCGUAACAAGGUUUCCGUAGGUGAACCUGCGGAAGGAUCAUUAACACGCAUUUAAAAAGCAUCCAAUAUCAACAAAUCAAAACCAAACGGUCAACUAUCUCCUCCCUAUUUCGCACACCGGAGACGGUACGAGUAGGCUAACAUUGAAAAAAAUAACAAGCUCAAUUCGUUGUGCUUUGUUAUUAUAUAUUUAUAAGAACAACUCUUAGCAAUGGAUAUCUUGGUUCUC
rnacentral:misc_RNA from 1 species